rnacentral:rRNA from 1 species
UACGAAGGGGGCUAGCGUUGCUCGGAAUCACUGGGCGUAAAGCGCACGUAGGCGGAUCGCUAAGUCAGGGGUGAAAUCCUGGAGCUCAACUCCAGAACUGCCUUUGAUACUGAGGAGCUUGAGUCCGGGAGAGGUGAGUGGAACUGCGAGUGUAGAGGUGAAAUUCGUAGAUAUUCGCAAGAACACCAGUGGCGAAGGCGGCUCACUGGCCCGGUACUGACGCUGAGGUGCGAAAGCGUGGGGAGCAAACAGG